GCCGAAUCAACUAGCCCC
rnacentral:snRNA from 1 species